GAGUUUGAUCGUGGCUCAGAUUGAACGCUGGCGGCAGGCCUAACACAUGCAAGUCGAGCGGAUGAAGGGAGCUUGCUCCUGGAUUCAGCGGCGGACGGGUGAGUAAUGCCUAGGAAUCUGCCUGGGUAGUGGGGAGUAACGUCCGGAAACGGGACGCUAAUACCGCAUACGUCCUGAGGGAGAAAGUGGGGGAGUCUUCGGACCUCACGCUAUCAGAUGAGCCUAGGUCGGAUUAGCUAGUUGGUGGGGUAAAGGCCUACCAAGGCGACGAUCCGUAACUGGUCUGAGAGGAUGAUCAGUCACACCGGAACUGAGACACGGUCCAGACUCCUACGGGAGGGCAGCAGUGGGGAAUAUUGGACAAUGGGCGAAAGCCUGAUCCAGCCAUGCCGCGUGUGUGAAGAAGGUCUUCGGAUUGUAAAGCACUUUAAG
rnacentral:rRNA from 1 species